AUGCAGUUUGGAAAUUUCUUCCGUCAUUCCAUCAACAGCUAGUCCUAGACGUAGACACCCACGACUAUUCCAGAGCUGCACAUUCCGGCCUGAAUGGCUGCAGGUCAUCUGAAGGGAUUAGGAAAGCAUCUCCUGGAAGGUAGCAGCAGUCAUAGGCUGAGCUGAGUUUAAAUAGGAGCCCACAAUAAAUCCUCACGCUAAAAGGGCAUUCCUCAGCGCCAAAUCUAUUCCGUCGACUGAAAUUUUAAUUGUAUACAACCAAAUACCAGAACCAAAGCGGACUUCCCGUUCCAAUAUAACAAGCUAGCACGCAGUAACUAGGUUUCGAGUUAUAUAUAAUCAACCCAAGCGAAAAAUAGCACCGGACCAAUGCUUAGAGUUUUUGUUGAACGAUGUUCCUCACGACUUCCAGCUUGUAAACGUAAUUUAAAACGAGAACAGAUCGGAGAAUAAAUAUUUGUCGAUUGCAUGAAAGUUGAAUAUUUCUGGCUGGUGAUGAAGUUUCAACAUUGUUUUACCACUGUUAAACUAGAAGAACCCCAUUUCAGAUUUUUACCAUGUAAUAUAAUUGAUAUUGAUAGUCUUAGCAAAAUUUACACGUACCUACUGAAAUAUGAUAAAGAAAAUAAAAGAUCUAGUAAUUCGAG